GAGUACGUGGUCGAGUGGUCAAGGGGUCUGACUCGAAUCCAUCGACGAUCGAUCAGAUGGGAUUUCCCGGAUAGGUUCGAAUACUGUCGAGUGCA